UAAAAUGAUAGAAUUCAUUUGAAUUCAAUUGUUUGAAAUUAUAGAAUAGUAAAAUGAAUGUAUUUAUUUACGUACUUUGCCCUUAUUUAUAAAGAAAUAAACAUAAUUUAAAUAAGGGUGUUUGACCUUCCAAAAACACCAAUUAUAUUUGCUAUUUCCUCUAUUUUACCAUAGGUAGGGAGGAAAUAGCAAGUAUACAUCCUACCUUGUUGGGAUGCUAUGAGUCCUCAAACUAGCCAUUGUUUGAAUCCAUCAUUACUAAUUUGUCUGUUAAACAUGAUACAAUUCUGAUUAAUUUUCUUUUAAUUACUUAAAUUUUUUGUUUCUCAAUCUGAUAAUAUUCCUGCAAGAUGUCUUCGAGAAGCCAUUGAUUUGGUCCAUGCUUUAUAUUCUGUCCUUGGAUAUGAAAGUUUUAAGUUGUUUGAAACUUUAGAGCUUCUUUUAUUGAUGGGGAUCAUCACAGCAGGUUUGUUGAUGUUUGUAAAUAGACAAGCACCAAAAUUGGUUAGGUAUAUAUAUACAUACCUGCUAAUCAUUGUCAACUGUCAAGACCACCCUAACACAUGAAUUUAUUUCAAAUGUUGCAAAAUUUGGCUGCGAGAUCGGUUGUACUUUGGUAUAAUUUUCCAUUCACCGAGAGCUGCUGAGAGAAGUUUGCUUUGGCAACUGCCAUACCAAGUACAUUCCAGAUUUUAUAUGUUCUGCAUUGGCAAGCAAAACAGGGCCACCCGUGCCAAACCAAGGGGAUGAAGGUGCAGAAUAAUUGCACCUUUCAAUUGCAGGCAUAUACAGCCUCAGCACACAUAAAAGCUAAAUUGCUGCAGAACUGAGCAUAUAAUAGUUAGUGAUAAAACAUUCCUAUUUGGACAAAUUCAGUUUUCAAUUCAUAAACAUAAAUUCAGAAGUGAGACAGAAGUUGACCCACAAACACACAUACAAUACAAGUAACACAUUAGCUCAAGGCAUUUGUAAGAUGCAACAAAGGAAACUGAAGCAGUUGAAGUAGGCCAAAUCAAGGCAAACAUCUAUCACUUACUUUAUCUUGAUCAGAAGACAGAGGAUCAUAACUUUACUGCUGAGUCAAAUAGUGAUUACCACGAGUACCAUGAAUAUGAUAUUAACACUUGCUCUUUGCUCACUCAACAAGAUGUUAUUAAGGAUAACUGAAGUGUGAAAACUUUGAUCCAGAAUGAUACUUCUUCAUGUUCAAUUCAUCAUCAAUUUCAGAUUUCCAACUAACCUAACCCUGCUUGCCUCUCCCACUUGAGGUCUGCUGAGAGCUCUGUGAUAGCAGCCCGGGGGUCACCAUUUGAAAUAGACAAGUAAUAUUGAGCAGUCCCAUCAUCAACUUGCAUACUUCUCUUUAAAGAGUCAAGAACCCUUCUCUUGCCUCGGUCAGAGGUUGCCCAGUUUGACAAACACCUCAACUUUCUGUCAGGUUCACCCUCAAGAUACAGCACUGCCACUUCCCUUUUUGCAUAGGUAUCCAACUCUAUGUAGCAUGUGCCAUUCAUGAGAAUUUCUGGAUUGCUUAUAGGGAUUAGUAAUCUCUCCCUGGAAUGUAUACCAUGGUCACUCAUCAUAUUGUUUAACCGUUUUAUGUCCAUAACCUGAACCGAAUACUUGACCGCAAGACUAGCAACAGUAUCCCCCCUUGCAAUCUUAUGCGAAAUAGAGAACUUCCAGAUGCCAUUAUCUCUCCAAAAACUUCCAGACACAGGCUUCCCUAUUACCUCCUUCAAUUUCCACGGACUCAUAAACGCGCUCCUCACAAUUUCACCAUCCGACGCCACCGAGUUCCACACCCUGCAAACGCAGCUCGCCCGCGCCAAGUCUGCCACCGAAAGCUUCUCGAAGAUUAGCUGGAGUGUGUCCCGGCACGUGAGCGCCGAGAAGAGAUGUUGAUUGCGGUCUCAACAGAUAUGUCGGUAGAAGAUUCCGGUGGGUUGAGGUGCCGCGUGAGGAUCCAGUCGUCGUCGCCAAAGCAGCCCAUCGUUUUACCGAGAGAAGAGGGAGAUAUGGGGGAUAUUAAAGUAACAGGAAUUGGAUGGUCGUUUUAAGACUGGGCUUUAUCCUUUUACCAUUAUAUUUUGCCCAUAGGGAUUAUUCAUUAUUGAUAUCAUUUCGAACUUCGCCUUCGUGAUGGUGUUUGUGGCUGUGGCUAUGUUAAUAUCAAGUGGGAAGGAGCAUCCCAGUAUGCCCUUGAGG
rnacentral:misc_RNA from 1 species